rnacentral:rRNA from 1 species
GUGCCAGCCGCCGCGGUAAAACGUAGGAGGCGAGCGUUAUCCGGAUUUAUUGGGCGUAAAGCGCAUGUAGGCGGUUUUCUAAGUCGGACGUGAAAGCUCUCGGCUCAACUGGGAGAGGUCGUUCGAAACUAGGAGACUUGAGGAUGGUAGAGGAGAGUGGAAUUCCCGGUGUAGUGGUGAAAUGCGUAGAUAUCGGGAGGAACACCAGUGGCGAAGGCGGCUCUCUGGACCAUUCCUGACGCUCAGAUGCGAAAGCUAGGGGAGAGAACGGGAUUAGAAACCCCGGUAUUCCUAGCCGUAAACGAUGUCAACUAGGCGUAGGGGGUUAUUGACCCCUCCUGUGCUGCAGCUAACGCAUUAAGUUGACCGCCUGGGGACUACGGCCGCAAGGCUAAAACUCAAAGGAAUUGACGGGGACCCGCACAAGCAGCGGAGCGUGUGGUUUAAUUCGAGGCUACGCGAAGAACCUUACCAGGGUUUGACAUGCUGGUGGUAGUGAAGCGAAAGUGGAACGACCCUUCGGGGAGCCAGUACAGGUGCUGCAUGGCUGUCGUCAGCUCGUGCCGUGAGGUGUUAGGUUAAGUCCUGUAACGAGCGCAACCCUCGUCGUUAGUUACAUGUGUCUAACGAGACUGCCGGUGAUAAGCCGGAGGAAGGUGGGGAUGACGUCAAGUCAGCAUGGCCUUUAUAUCCUGGGCUACACACACGCUACAAUGGCCGGUACAAUGGGCAGCCAAGUCGUGAGACGGAGCCAAUCCUUCAAAGCCGGUCUCAGUUCGGAUUGUAGGCUGCAACUCGCCUGCAUGAAGUCGGAGUUGCUAGUAAACGCGCGUCAGCAAUAGUGCGUUGAAUACGUUCCCGGGUCUUGUACACACCGCCCGUCACGUCAUGGAAGUUGGCAACGCCUGAAGUCGGUGAGCUAACCUAACGGAGGCAGCCGCCUAAGGCGGGGUCGGUAACUGGGACGAAGUCGUAACAAGGUAACC